rnacentral:rRNA from 1 species
UGGGGAAUCUUGCGCAAUGGGCGAAAGCCUGACGCAGCGACGCCGCGUGCGGGAAGAAGGCCUUCGGGUUGUAAACCGCUUUCAGGAGGGACGAAGCCACUCGGGUUAAUAGCCCAGAGGGUGACGGUACCUCCAGAAGAAGCCCCGGCUAACUACGUGCCAGCAGCCGCGGUAAUACGUAGGGGGCUAGCGUUGUCCGGAUUUAUUGGGCGUAAAGAGCGCGUAGGCGGCCGAGUAAGUCCGACGUGGAAUCUGGAGGCUCAACCUCCAGCGGUCGUUGGAAACUACUCGGCUAGAGUCCGGAAGAGGAGAGUGGAAUUCCUGGUGUAGCGGUGAAAUGCGCAGAUAUCAGGAAGAACACCGAUGGCGAAAGCAGCUCUCUGGGACGGUACUGACGCUGAGGCGCGAAAGCGUGGGGAGCGAACAGGAUUAGAUACCCUGGGUAGUCCACGCCGUAAACGAUGGGGUGCUAGGUGUGGGCGGUGUCGACUCCGCCCGUGCCGAAGCUAACG